GUUGCGGCGGAGGGUGAGUAACACGUGGGUAACCUGCCUGUAAGACUGGGAUAACUCCGGGAAACCGGGGCUAAUACCGGAUGGUUGUUUGAACCGCAUGGUUCAAACAUAAAAGGUGGCUUCGGCUACCACUUACAGAUGGACCCGCGGCGCAUUAGCUAGUUGGUGAGGUAACGGCUCACCAAGGCAACGAUGCGUAGCCGACCUGAGAGGGUGAUCGGCCACACUGGGACUGAGACACGGCCCAGACUCCUACGGGAGGCAGCAGUAGGGAAUCUUCCGCAAUGGACGAAAGUCUGACGGAGCAACGCCGCGUGAGUGAUGAAGGUUUUCGGAUCGUAAAGCUCUGUUGUUAGGGAAGAACAAGUACCGUUCGAAUAGGGCGGUACCUUGACGGUACCUAACCAGAAAGCCACGGCUAACUACGUGCCAGCAGCCGCGGUAAUACGUAGGUGGCAAGCGUUGUCCGGAAUUAUUGGGCGUAAAGGGCUCGCAGGCGGUUUCUUAAGUCUGAUGUGAAAGCCCCCGGCUCAACCGGGGAGGGUCAUUGGAAACUGGGGAACUUGAGUGCAGAAGAGGAGAGUGGAAUUCCACGUGUAGCGGUGAAAUGCGUAGAGAUGUGGAGGAACACCAGUGGCGAAGGCGACUCUCUGGUCUGUAACUGACGCUGAGGAGCGAAAGCGUGGGGAGCGAACAGGAUUAGAUACCCUGGUAGUCCACGCCGUAAACGAUGAGUGCUAAGUGUUAGGGGGUUUCCGCCCCUUAGUGCUGCAGCUAACGCAUUAAGCACUCCGCCUGGGGAGUACGGUCGCAAGACUGAAACUCAAAGGAAUUGACGGGGGCCCGCACAAGCGGUGGAGCAUGUGGUUUAAUUCGAAGCAACGCGAAGAACCUUACCAGGUCUUGACAUCCUCUGACAAUCCUAGAGAUAGGACGUCCCCUUCGGGGGCAGAGUGACAGGUGGUGCAUGGUUGUCGUCAGCUCGUGUCGUGAGAUGUUGGGUUAAGUCCCGCAACGAGCGCAACCCUUGAUCUUAGUUGCCAGCAUUCAGUUGGGCACUCUAAGGUGACUGCCGGUGACAAACCGGAGGAAGGUGGGGAUGACGUCAAAUCAUCAUGCCCCUUAUGACCUGGGCUACACACGUGCUACAAUGGACAGAACAAAGGGCAGCGAAACCGCGAGGUUAAGCCAAUCCCACAAAUCUGUUCUCAGUUCGGAUCGCAGUCUGCAACUCGACUGCGUGAAGCUGGAAUCGCUAGUAAUCGCGGAUCAGCUGCCGCGGAUUUC
rnacentral:rRNA from 1 species